rnacentral:tRNA from 1 species
GAUAAAGUGUCUGAAAAAAGUAAUAAACUGUAAAUUUAUAAAUGAAUUAAAAUUCCUUUAUCA